GCGGAGAUAGCAAAACCUGGCCAUGCAGCGGUCUGCAAAACCGCGGAUCGGAGUUCAAAUCUCCGUCUCCGCUCCA
rnacentral:tRNA from 1 species